UUGAACGCUGGCGGCAUGCCUUACACAUGCAAGUCGAACGGCAGCACGGGUGCUUGCACCUGGUGGCGAGUGGCGAACGGGUGAGUAAUACAUCGGAACAUGUCCUGUAGUGGGGGAUAGCCCGGCGAAAGCCGGAUUAAUACCGCAUACGAUCUACGGAUGAAAGCGGGGGACCUUCGGGCCUCGCGCUAUAGGGUUGGCCGAUGGCUGAUUAGCUAGUUGGUGGGGUAAAGGCCUACCAAGGCGACGAUCAGUAGCUGGUCUGAGAGGACAACCAGCCACACUGGGACUGAGACACGGCCCAGACUCCGACGGGAGGCAGCAGUGGGGAAUUUUGGACAAUGGGCGAAAGCCUGAUCCAGCAAUGCCGCGUGUGUGAAGAAGGCCUUCGGGUUGUAAAGCACUUUUGUCCGGAAAGAAAUCCUUGGCCCUAAUACGGUCGGGGGAUGACGGUACCGGAAGAAUAAGCACCGGCUAACUACGUG
rnacentral:rRNA from 1 species